CCCCAACAACUGGAUGAGGUUUUUGAGAUUUUUUUUGUACUGGGUUACAUAGUGGUGUGUGCUCGAUGGGUUGGUGACGGACGAGAGGAACAGAGACGCUGCCGAUUCGCUCAGUCAUGUGCUCGCCGCGUGGCCAAGAGUGAGCUGCGCAUCUGGGCGCUCACCAAGUAGACCACAACCACGUCCUGAAGCUCUUAGAGAUCCUUGCAUGGUGCCAUCUCCAAGAAUGACAGACCGUGGCCUCCGACAUGCUGCUGAGGUCGAUGUGGACAAACUCAUGAAUGCAUUGGAAAUACUUUCUGAAACUGAAAAGCAAUUGAAAACCACAAAAAACCAGUCUACAUUGCUUACAGCAGCUUUGUUAGAUUGUUUUUUGUUUGACAUACUAUGGAAGACACAAGGAUCAAACCAAACAUCUUGAUGAUAGCGAUAAACACAAGUCUAAGUGUGACAUAGUUUGCAAGAAAAGGUUGAGCAAGAAGUUGGAUGCUAGCACAAGCAAACCAGAUCAACCUAGGCAAACCUCUGGAAUUAGAGAAGAAAGGAGGAAUUACCACUCAUGGUAAUCCCUAAGGCCCGAUGAUCGAAGUAUCAUGAGGGGUGCUGGUGAGAGGAAUGUCUAUGAUUUAAGGGGGUAUUUUGCUGGUGGAAGUGGAAGGGGUAGAGAAAGGUUUGACUACCCAUAUGGAGGUAGAAAAAAUAUGCACAAGGCUGCUGGGGAUCAAACAAAAAG